UAUCCUUAUUGUUUUAUUGCUGUGAUGGCGUAGCUAUCAAUCGUGUUUGAAACUGUGUUUAUUCGAUUCCAGAGGCUGUCCAACACAGAGAACUCGAUAAACUGCCAAAAUGAACCCAAUCUGACAGAGAGAGUUACAUUGCCAACACACUGGAACCAUGCAUAUGCUGUAAAUGGCGAGAUGUUGGAUACUCCAGUAUCUGGAAGAGAUCUCAGUCUUGUUGCAAGUCACAUCGGGAUCGGGUUCGAGUCUGUUGGCAUCGAACUUGGACUUACUCUCGUGGUUAUCGAACAAGUCACGUUUGCACACCCUUAUUCACUAUACAUGCAGGUUGUGCACAUGCUUACAAAGUGGAAGGAGAAGAACGGGAGAACUGCAACCAGCCUGGUCCUUGUCAGAGCACUGUGGAGAUGCAAUGACAGGUGUACCAUUGAGUGGGAGGACAUUCUCAACAUCCUUCAGGGACCGUCCACUGUGUCUGUGUAAUCAAGUCGGAGAGCUGUUUUCACAUGACGCUGUCUUGCUUUACGCUGUGAAUACAUGAGUGGGUAUAUAAGUAAUGCUUCACUGAGUUUCCCCGACCACAUACAGAGAAAUCAUGCCUACAUUUAUGUUAUCUCAUAUACUAGCGCUGCACUGAACACUCUUCUCAUGUACAGUUAUCAUUGAUUGAUUGGGUUCCCGCUUUGAAAUAUCGAGUCGAGAUGCUAGGUUCACUGAGGCUUAUUUAGAUAAUUUGGGAUCCUGACUGAUCGGAAUGAUUUUCUGUUUCCUCAAGUUGCACACUGAACACUCUUCAUUUAAACAGUAAUAUCUUUUCCGUUUGUAAUACAUUGUGAUUCUAUUUGUAUGUGUUGAGAAUAAAUGCUUUUAAUAAAUAGC